UACGGGGGGGGCAAGCGUUGUUCGGAAUUACUGGGCGUAAAGGGCUCGUAGGCGGCCAACUAAGUCAGACGUGAAAUCCCUCGGCUUAACCGGGGAACUGCGUCUGAUACUGGAUGGCUUGAGAUUGGGAGAGGGAUGCGGAAUUCCAGGUGUAGCGGUGAAAUGCGUAGAUAUCUGGAGGAACACCGGUGGCGAAGGCGGGUCUCUGGACAGUUCCUGACGCUGAGGCACGAAGGUCAGGGGAGCAAACGGG
rnacentral:rRNA from 1 species